rnacentral:miRNA from 1 species
GGCAGGUCUUCUUGGCUAGC